rnacentral:rRNA from 1 species
AGGAGUGGAGCCUGCGGCUUAAUUUGACUCAACACGGGAAACCUCACCAGGCCCGGACACCGGAAGGAUUGACAGAUUGAGAGCUCUUUCUUGAUUCGGUGGGUGGUGGUGCAUGGCCGUUCUUAGUUGGUGGAGCGAUUUGUCUGGUUAAUUCCGAUAACGAACGAGACUCUAGCCUGCUAACUAGGCGUAUUUCGACAUCCCAAAGGCCCGCCGGUUUGGGGUCUUCGGACUCCUUUCCGCGCGCGGUUUUUACUGUCGGCGUACAAACAAUUCUUCUUAGAGGGACAGGCGGCUUCUAGCCGCACGAGAUUGAGCAAUAACAGGUCUGUGAUGCCCUUAGAUGUUCUGGGCCG